rnacentral:rRNA from 1 species
AUCGAACGCUGGCGGCAGGCCUAACACAUGCAAGUCGAACGAGCGGCGGACUGGUGAGUAAUUUCUGGGAACCUGCCUGAUGGAGGGGGCUAACUACUGGAAAAGUUAGCUAAUACCGCUUACCAUGAGAUGUGCCCUGAUGGGAUUAGCUACUAGGUGGGGUAAUGGCUCACCUAGGCGACGAUCCCUAGCUGGUCUGAGAGGCUGACCAGCCACACUGGAACUGAGACAAGGUCCAGACUCCUACGGGAGGCAGCAGUGGGGAAUAUUGGACAAUGGGCGCAAGCCUGAUGCAGCCAUGCCGAGUGUAUGAAGAAGGCCUUCGGGUUGUAAAGUACUUUCGGCGGGGAGGCGUUACCCACAGAAAAAGCACCGGCUAACUACGUGCCAGCAGCCGCGGUAAUAC